UCUCUCUGAUAAGUCACUUUUCAGCAGACAUGAAUAGUAUUGAUGGGAAGCAGAAGAUGCACUUUGUCCAUCAGUAAGACAAAUACCGCAAUUGAGGCUGAAUCAGCUCAGCUCAUCAGAUAGCAUCUGAACCAGAGACUGUAUUGCCAGAGCCUAAGUGGAGAAAUCCAACCAGAAAAGUAGAGCUGGAGGAGGAGGAAAGCUGCCUAUGACUGAACUCGUGGGGAAGAGCAGUGGAUAUUGAUGAUCUUAAGGAAAACAGGCAACAUGAACACAGAUGUUCAUCCACAAGGCCAGGAAAUAGCUCAUGGAAUCAUCUAGUCUGGCUGCAUGUCCACACUGGAAUCUCAUCUGGUCCAGCAGCUUUAGACCAUGUCUGCAGACAGCAAGUCUGGAGUGUUGCCCAAGAUCGCAGCAUUUUUUGAGACACAAAUGACAUUUUUCAUUUUAAGGCUGAUUAGAGUGUGCUGAUCACAGACACUCAAAAAUCACUUUUCAUAGGGCCUUGUGGGCCUUCUCCAUUGCUUCAUGUCACAGUGAAGACACCAGUGACUUGGUCAGGAGAUUGUGAGGACUGUGUGUGCAGCACAAAGUAAAAUUGGUCUGACCUGACUUUCACAA